AUGAGCAUCUGGCUCCUGUGCUAUGUGGUGUUUUCUCUCCUGUGGGUAGGUCCAGUGAAGGCUGGUGUGACUCAGACCCCAAAAUUCCAGGUCCUGAAGACAGGACAGAGCAUAACACUGCAGUGUGCCCAGGAUAUGGACCACGGCUACAUGUCCUGGUAUCGACAAGACCCAGGCAUGGGGCUGAGACUGAUUUAUUACUCAGUUGCUGCUGGUACUACUGACAAAGGAGAAGUCCUCAAUGGCUACAAUGUCUCCAGAUUAAACACAGAGGAUUUCCCGCUCAGGCAGUAG